rnacentral:rRNA from 1 species
UACGAAGGGGGCUAGCGUUGCUCGGAAUCACUGGGCGUAAAGGGUGCGUAGGCGGGUCUUUAAGUCAGGGGUGAAAUUCCUGGAGCUCAACUCCAGAACUGCCUUUGAUACUGAGGAUCUUGAGUUCGGGAGAGGUGAGUGGAACUGCGAGUGUAGAGGUGAAAUUCGUAGAUAUUCGCAAGAACAUCAGUGGCGAAGGCGGCUACCUGGCCCAGU